UCUCUGCAAACAUGUCACCUGGAGCUCUUUGUUUACUCCUCACAACUACAGGUCUUCUCACUGGACUUUGUCGUGGCGAUUCUGUCUCACAAAUUCCGUCUGUAAUCACAAUAAACGAGGGUGAUGAUGUCCUGUUGUUCUGUAACUACUCUACAAUAAACAGCAAUCCUGCUCUGUUCUGGUACCGUCAACCUUCCAACGGGUCCAUGAAUUUUCUGCUGCAGAAAAACCAAUAUAGCCAGAAAACGAGUUUUCUACGAGACAAGCUCUCCUGGGAUUUUGACCAUGUGAACCGCACUAUGCAGCUGAAAGUUUGGAAAACAGAACUAACAGACUCUGCAGUGUAUUACUGCGCACUGAGUCCCACAGAGACUCAGAACUGGGCUGACCGUGUACAAAAACUCUCAGAGCGUCGAGGCAAACAGUAAGAUCAGGAGUGGAUCUAAUGUGGUUCCCGAAUUCAAGGUGAUAGCUGAUACUUAUCAUUCGGACACAACACUUUAAUUGGCUUAAAUCUAUUAUUGAAAGGAAUGCCGUCAAUUUCGAGAACAGAAAACAACUAAUUUAUUUUGCAUCCUUCAUGGUGUUCCAAAAUGUUUUGUUGUUACAGGAAUGACGUGUGAUGAAAUAUCCGGAAAACGUUUUGAUCCAGCAAAUUCUUCUAGCAAAACAGGGAAUUGCAGUAUCCUGUUUGAGAUACAAUGACCUGUCACAGGAUUCUAAUAAUAAGACACUGGAACAACCUGCACAACGUUGUUGCAAACUGCCAUUGCACCUUUAUGAUAACAGCUCCAAAAUGACACGUUCUCGAUUCAUAGGUCCAGAAUAACGCAGACCUGUCGGUGUUAGGUGUUGAAACAAACUGUACUGUGCAGCAUACAGAUGCAACACAUGAAAGAUUAAAGUCGUGUAAAUUGCCAACACAUCGAGAUAUGCAAACAAAAAAGUGUUUUGUCAAAGUCCACUUCAUGUACAGAACUUCCAAACAUUAUAUCAGAACAAUCGUUAAUUGGUAUUUCAUAUUAUUGUCUGCACCAUAACAAUAAAAUAAUGUGCUGUGCAUGCUGAAGAUCUGAAACUAAACUCAACUUGCUGGCGAAACUCAGCAGGUCUGGCAGCAUCUGUUGGGAGAAAGCAGAGUUAAAAUUUUGAGUCCGGUGACUCUUCAUCAGAAAACUGCGUGUCCCAGUUGACUGUGAUAGGAACGUAAGAAUUAAGAGAAGGAAUAGGUGCUUCGACGCUUUGAGUCUGCUCCGCCAUAUAAUAAGAUCAUUGCUGAUUUGUUUUGUGGACUCAGCUCCACUUACCCGU